rnacentral:tRNA from 1 species
AGGCCCAUAGUGUAGUGGUCAAUCAUCUCGGACUUUGGAUUCGUGGACGGCGGUUCGAAUCCGCCUGGGCCUACCA